GACGAAGGAUGCAAGCGUUAUCCGGAUUCAUUGGGUUUAAAGGGUGCGUAGGCGGACUGAUAAGUCAGUGGUGAAAUCUCUUGCUUAACAAAGAAACUGCCAUUGAUACUGUCGGUCUAGAGUAUAGAUGACGUUGGCGGAAUAUGACAUGUAGUGGUGAAAUACUUAGAUAUGUCAUAGAACACCGAUUGCGAAGGCAGCUAACGAAACUAUAACUGACGCUGAGCACGAAAAGUGCGGGGAUCAAACAGG
rnacentral:rRNA from 1 species